AUUGAACGCUGGCGGCAGGCCUAACACAUGCAAGUCGAGCGAGUGGCGGACGGGUGAGUAAUGUAUGGGGAUUUCCCGCUAGAGGGGGAACAAUACUGGAAACGGUCGCUAAUACCGCAUACCGUCGGAUAAACUAUAUGGGAUGCGCUAGUAGGUAAGGUAAUGGCCUACCUAGGCGACGAUACCUAGCUGGUCUGAGAGGAUGAUCAGCCACACUGGGACUAAGACACGGCGCAAACUCCUACGGAGGCAGCAGUGGGGAAUAUUGCACAGUGGGCGGAAGCCUGAUGCAGCCAUGCCGCGUGUAUGAAGAAGGCCAUAGGGUUGUAAAGUACUUUCAGUCGGGAGGCGUUACCGAAAGAAGAAGCACCGGCUAACUCCGUGCCAGCAGCCGCGGUAAUAC
rnacentral:rRNA from 1 species